UUUUGGUAAAGAUUGUACUAAUUUAUUACAAUCGUCACAUGUUAAAGCGUUCCACUCUUCUCGCAAGCGAUGUUUUAGGUCUUCUUUUGUUAUUAUUGAAUGGCGCCGGACCUUGCGCUUCAAUAGACCCCACAAAUGCUCGAUGGGGUUCAGGUCUGGUGACUGGGCAGGCCAUUCAAGCAGCUCGAUGCUAUUGUCACUAAACCAAGCCAUCGUUCGGGCAGCUUUGUGACAAGGUGCGUUAUCCUGCUGGAAUUUGACGCUCUCCAGGUUGGUGUCACCAAAAAGUGUCGUAAACGAGGGCAGAAGUGCGGAUUCAAGAACGUUUAUGUACUUUGUAGAGUCCAUGCGUCCUUCACACACAAACAUUUCCCCAACUCCUGCGGCGCUCAUGCACCCCCAGACCAUCACACUGCCGCCGCCAUGUUUGACGGUAGGUACCACACACUCCGGGGUAAAUUCUUCGUCUACUCGACGACGGACAAAUGUCACACCAGGUGUGCCAACAAUCUGUAAAGUAACGAAAUUUUGUUAAGUGUUUUUCGGUCCAAUAUUUAUUUUUACAAAUAUAGUUUUAUAAUAUUAUUGUCGCGUAUUGUUAUUACAUGAUAUUGGCUAACUUACCUCAAAGUUUGAUUCAUCUGACCACACAAUGUUUUUCAAAUCUUCCUCAGUGAAAGUUUGGUAUUUUAAAGCCUACUCGUAACGAGCUGUUUUGGUCUUUUCUGAGAGCCAUGGCUUCUUUCUGGCUGUAUAGCCCUUAAGCCCAGCUUCUUGGAGUCUUCUGCGAGUUGUUCUUGCAGAAAUUGGCGUAUUAAUUUCAGCUGAUAACUCAGCAGCGAGGUCGGAAGAAGUUUUUUUAUGAUUUUUCAAAGACU